rnacentral:tRNA from 1 species
UCCCGUGCUGGCGGGACGCUUCUGCGGCCUCAAAGGUGGUGGGGAAUUCGGCGAUCACGCUGCCGAGCUGGUGCGACUCCAGCACAUGAUCC